UUUGGCAGCAAUUGAACUCUUCACAUAUGGAUACUAGAGUUCACAUUUUAUAGAAAUACUGGCCUACAAGGCUACAACUUACUAGGUUAAGUUAUGUGAAUUUUACUCGGAGUCGGGACCAUUUUUUGUGGUAGACCUGCCCAUUGUAGCUUCCUAUUCUUUUACUAUGCUACUUCUUAAACAGAUUGGUUGAUAUUCGCUAAUGGAUAUGAGAAUAUUACACACAUAGAGACUGAAUUGGCUCCCAUGUUUGUCGAGCUGGCACAAGUUCACCAGUUGCAACAUAAAAUCUCGUAUCAUUAAGGGGUCCCAAGUAAACUUGAUCAGUUGGUGGCGAACGGCUGCAUGCCACAGAAUUUCCAGCUUGCUAUGGUCCUAAGGCUUUCACCUAAACAAUGAGAAACAAUGCACAACCACCUUGCAUUCCUUUACUGCUUCACUCUAAUAGGAUGGAUCAGGUUGCAUCCAAAUAGUUGCUGCUGAAGGCGAGAGGUCUAACUGGGAAAUCCAAGUGACUAGUGCCAAAGUAGCAUUGCAGAAUGCAGUUGCAGAGCAAUCCAAGCUGUCUUUACACGAAGGUGUUUUCUACUCUUUCCUUUCCGAAUGUGCCCUUGCCAAUCCCAAUGAAUCCCGUGCUUCACACUGUGAUCACCUCCAACCAACACAUCCCUCAGAAACUAAAGCACUGUUCCCUUCCAACACAAAGAAAGACAACUUUUCCAUCAAAAUCCCUCAGAAAUUGCAUUAGCAGCAGACAUACAAUGGAGGCAACUGUCUGGUUGCUUGCGAUAGCAUCAGAAUUCUACCCUCCACCCAACUCUGCUUGUGGUACAAGAUCAACUGAACAGAGGAAUCAAGACAAAUUACAAGACUUAAGGCCGGCCCCCACAAUCCUGUUCUCAGAGCAGGAUUUUAGGUUUUGAAGAUCAAUUCCUCAUGUCUGUUGUAAAGUUCGCAUUUCAUAUGAGUUUGAGAAUCUACUAGUUUCUGAUGAUGCCAAAUCAUUGAAGGAACAUGAGUUCAUCGAUCAAUAGCAUGGUAUAUGCAUGGAAAGGAUUAUGUUGAUCAAUUGUUUUUGUUCACAAAGAUCAUGUGUUGCUCAGGAUUGGCAAACUACAAUUCUGCAAGUGCUUAAGCUACUAUCACAUUGGUAUACUCUCUCUCCCUCUCUCUCUCUCUCUCUCUCUCUCUCUCUCUCUCUCUCUCACAGUCACAGACACAAGAAAAAAAAAAGAAAAGAAUUUGAGUCAUGUUUUUGAACAAAGUAUAUUUUGUUAAACUAAUAUUCAUAUGUGGCAUCUCAUCCGAAUGACGAGGAUUACCUGAAGGUAUGAAGUUGUCUUCUCGUACUAUAGACUGUUUCCAAAUCUACUCUAUUUCAGUGACAAAAAUGUUUUUGUUUUUUCCAUUUCUUCCGGAAGCUAAUGUACGAUAGUUGCAUACUUAAUGCCUUUGAGUUUUGAAAUCUGCUGAGCUUUCUAUUGGGUUCUGAGUUUGAAGUACUUGGCCCAGACUAAGCACGAGAAGCAUCAAAGUCUGUUGGAAUGAAGUGCUUGUCAAUCAAUCAGUGUCUUUAUACUUCAGGCUCUAGUGUUCUACCAAUUUCCAUGCCUUGAUGCAAGCUUCUAUUAUUCCAACCUAUCUCCCUAAAGAGUGUUGUCAGUGGGAAAACUAUUAUAUAUCUUACAGAGAAUCAGGUUUCUCUCAUUAACAGGUUGCAGAUUGAUGGAUGCAAAAUGGAGUUUCCGAAAGGCUCUUGGAGUGUUGCGGUGGAGAUUGGAGGCUUGAAUUGUGAUCCAAAGAAGGAAAAAAUGUUGGAAUUUGCUUGCUCUGUCCGGACAGGAAUCACGGCCUUCCAGAGGGACCUUAACGAAGCAAAGUCAAUGCUGAGCCCGCCGAAAAAUCCAUCCGGAUGUUGGUCAGUCCUGUCUUGACGGGCGACUUGUGUUUUGUUUUAUUUUACGUUUUCUGAUGUAUUUUGAGGCCCAAUAACUAUAAAAGAGCAAUCCUAGCUCUAUUUUCGGGUUUUGAACUUUUCUGAGAAGGCUAGAGAGAGGCAAGAGCAAGAAGAAGAAGAGAUCUCCAUGGUUUCCAUCAGCGAGAGCUUGCAGCCACAUGUAAGGCUAUAUAUGCACUCCUUCAAAGGUGAAGAUUGAAGCUUACUGUCAAAUAACUCUGCUAAAGUAGUUUCUAGUAUUCUUAUUCAGCUUGGAUUAUGGGACAAGAACCCUUUGCAGUCUAUGAAAUUGAUUUCAACUUUUUCAAUC